UCCUGCGUUGAAGUGAGUACAGGCUGCCCUUUUCUUGGUCGUUGGUAACGCAGGCAAAGGAAAAGUCGCAAGGUUCUUUCUAUAUUCAGAGGUUCCAAAAUGGGACAACCUUAGGUGACCGAGCACAAG
ensembl:snoRNA SNORA71 Small nucleolar RNA SNORA71